rnacentral:rRNA from 1 species
CCUACGGGUGGCAGCAGUGGGGAAUAUUGCGCAAUGGGCGAAAGCCUGACGCAGCGACGCCGCGUGAGGGAUGAAGGUCUUCGGAUCGUAAACCUCUGUCAGCAGGGAAGAACGGUCACUGUGCUAAUCAGCAGUGAAUUGACGGUACCUGCAAAGGAAGCACCGGCUAACUCCGUGCCAGCAGCCGCGGUAAUACGGAGGGUGCGAGCGUUAAUCGGAAUUACUGGGCGUAAAGCGCUCGUAGGCGGUAUGUCAAGUCAAGGGGGAAAUCCCCGCGCUCAACGUGGGAACUGCCUUUGAAACUGGCAAACUGGAGUGUGUGAGAGGUUAGUGGAAUUCCAGGUGAAGGAGUGAAAUCCGUAGAUAUCUGGAGGAACAUCAGUGGCGAAGGCGACUAUCUGGCACAUAACUGACGCUGAGGAGCGAAAGCGUGGGUAGCAAACAGGAUUAGAUACCCGGGUAGUC